rnacentral:rRNA from 1 species
GAUGAACGCUGGCGGCGUGCUUAACACAUGCAAGUCGAGCGAAGCAGUUAAGUUGAUUUCUUCGGAUUGAUUCUUAGCUGACUGAGCGGCGGACGGGUGAGUAACGCGUGGGUGACCUGCCCCAUACCGGGGGAUAACAGCUGGAAACGGCUGCUAAUACCGCAUAAGCGCACAGAGCUGCAUGGCUCGGUGUGAAAAACUCCGGUGGUAUGGGAUGGGCCCGCGUCUGAUUAGGCAGUUGGCGGGGUAACGGCCCACCAAACCGACGAUCAGUAGCCGGCCUGAGAGCGCGACCGGCCACAUUGGGACUGAGACACGGCCCAAACUCCUACGGGAGGCAGCAGUGGGGAAUAUUGCACAAUGGGGGAAACCCUGAUGCAGCGACGCCGCGUGAGCGAAGAAGUAUUUCGGUAUGUAAAGCUCUAUCAGCAGGGGAGAUAAUGACGGUACCUGACUAAGAAGCCCCGGCUAACUACGUGCCAGCAGCCGCAGUAACAC